UACAGAGGGUGCAAGCGUUAAUCGGAAUUACUGGGCGUAAAGCGUGCGCAGGCGGUUUUGUAAGACAGGCGUGAAAUCCCCGGGCUUAACCUGGGAAUGGCGCUUGUGACUGCAAAGCUGGAGUGCGGCAGAGGGGGGUGGAAUUCCGCGUGUAGCAGUGAAAUGCGUAGAUAUGCGGAGGAACACCAAUGGCGAAGGCAAUCCCCUGGGCCUGUACUGACGCUCAUGCACGAAAGCGUGGGGAGCAAACAGG
rnacentral:rRNA from 1 species